rnacentral:rRNA from 1 species
UACGUAGGUGGCAAGCGUUGUCCGGAUUUACUGGGCGUAAAGAGCGCGCAGGCGGUCGUUCAAGUCGCGUGUGAAAGCCCCCGGCUCAACUGGGGAGGGUCACGCGAUACUGAUCGACUCGAAGGCAGGAGAGGGUAGUGGAAUUCCUGGUGUAGCGGUGAAAUGCGUAGAUAUCAGGAGGAACACCGGUGGUGUAGACGGCUAUCUGGACCGUAACUGACGCUGAGGCACGAAAGCGUGGGUAGCAAACAGG